GAUGAAGAACGCAGUGAAAUGCGAUAAGUAAUGUGAAUUGCAGAAUUCAGUGAAUCAUCGAAUCUUUGAACGCACAUUGCGCCCGCCAGUAUUCUGGCGGGCAUGCCUGUCUGAGCGUCAUUUCAACCCUCAUGCCCCUAGGGCGUGGUGUUGGGGAUCGGCCAAAGCCCGCGAGGGACGGCCGGCCCCUAAAUCUAGUGGCGGACCCGUCGUGGCCUCCUCUGCGAAGUAGUGAUAUUCCGCAUCGGAGAGCGACGAGCCCCUGCCGUUAAACCCCCAACUUUCCAAGGUUGACCUCAGAUCAGGUAGGAAUACCCGCUGAACUUAAGCAUAUCAUAAGCGGAGGA
rnacentral:misc_RNA from 1 species